rnacentral:lncRNA from 1 species
CACUGAAUCAUUUUUCAAAANCUUUCCAUUGGUUCAAAGAUCAGGUUCAUUGGAUCUAUAUAACUCCAGAUAUGACAAAAACAAUAAGUGCUGCUUCACAGGUAAAGCUGUAUCCGGCAGGUAACAGGCUGGACUUUGCACGGUAAUUUUGGCUGCCUUGUGUUACGAAUUUGACUUCUUCCAAAACAUGAAAGUUGUAGAAACGUGCCUUAUCUUUCCAACACAACUUGAAUCACCUCGAUCUAAUGUCUACAGCUCAAGUUAUGAUUAUUUUAUCAACAGCUGCUUCUUGCUUGAGGCAGUCACUAUUUUUGACUUUUCAACAUUAUUUUCCUCCACUUGCUCCACUUGUAAUAAAUUGAAAAUACAUGUGAAAUACAUCAAAUAGAUACUCUUUCAAAUGUAUAAUACUCAUGCCGUCAUGUAUGUAAAUACGUAUUUCAAUUAAUUGCAUUUUUAACCAUGUAUUUAUGGAAAUUGAAUUUACAGCAUGAGAAUUGGAAUUAGAGACUAACAUUAGCAUUUUUAAACAAAGUGAAUGUAAAAUUCCUUCUAAAUGAUAUAUCUUUGAAGCACUUUUAGACACUAAUCAACAGCAAUUCA